UACGAAGGGGGCUAGCGUUGCUCGGAAUCACUGGGCGUAAAGCGCACGUAGGCGGUUUGCUAAGUCAGGGGUGAAAUCCUGGAGCUCAACUCCAGAACUGCCUUUGAUACUGGCGGACUUGAGUCCGGGAGAGGUGAGUGGAACUGCGAGUGUAGAGGUGAAAUUUCGUAGAUAUUCGCAAGAACACCAGUGGCGAAGGCGGCUCACUG
rnacentral:rRNA from 1 species